rnacentral:rRNA from 1 species
UACGUAGGGGGCAAGCGUUGUCCGGAAUUAUUGGGCGUAAAGCGCGCGCAGGCGGUUUUUUAAGUCUGGUGUAUAAACCUUGGGCUCAACUUAAGGAGGCACUGGAAACUGGGGAACUGGAGUGUAGGAGAGGAAAGUGGAAUUCCACGUGUAGCGGUGAAAUGCGUAGAGAUGUGGAGGAACACGAGUGGCGAAGGCGGGUCUCUGGGCAGUAACUGACGCUGAGGAGCGAAAGCGUGGGGAGCGAACAGG